rnacentral:rRNA from 1 species
AACGAACGCUGGCGGCAUGCCUAACACAUGCAAGUCGAACGAGAUCUUCGGGUCUUGUGGCGCAUGGGUUCGUAACUCGUGGGAACCUUCCCUUAGGUUCGGAAUAACUCCCCGAAAGGGGUGCUAAUACCGGAUAAUGUCUUCGGACCAAAGAUUUAUCGCCUUUGGUUGGUCCCGCGUUGGAUUAGCUAGUUGGUAGGGUAAGAGCCUACCAAGCGGACGAUCUAUAGCUGGUCUGUGAGGAUGAUCAGCCGCACUGGGACUGAGACACGGCCCAGACUCCUACGGGAGGAAGCAGUGGAGAAUAUUGGACCGUGGGGGGAAGCCUGAUAAAGCGAUGACGCGUGAGUGGUGAAGGUCUUAGAGUUAUAAAGCUUUUUUACCCGCGAUGGUAUUGACAGUACCGGGAGAAUAAGCACCGGCUAACUACGUG